ensembl:snRNA U2 U2 spliceosomal RNA
AUCGCUUCUCGGCCUUUUGGCUCAGAUCAAGUGUAGUAUCUGUUCCCCAAAGCCCGCUGAAUAGGUCGAAAAAAAGACAAGGUUGUGCGGGAAAUAUACAAUUUUUUUCUUUUCUCAAGAAAAUUUUUGGCUUUUUUGGUUUUUUUUUUAACAAGGAUGCCCGGAUCGGGCUUGCUCCGGUGAGGAGAUUGCCUGGAGGAACC